rnacentral:rRNA from 1 species
CCUACGUGUGGCAGCAGUGGGGGAUAUUGCACAAUGGGGGAAACCCUGAUGCAGCGACGCCGCGUGUGGGAAGACGGUCCUCUGGAUUGUAAACCACUGUCCCCAGGGACGAAGAUGACGGUACCUGGGGAGGAAGCUCCGGCUAACUACGUGCCAGCAGCCGCGGUAAUACGUAGGGAGCAAGGGUUGUCCGGAAUUACUGGGUUUAAGGGGAGAGUAGGCGGGAUGGCAUGUUGGGUGUUAAAUCGACCGCCUAAACAGGUAGUCGAAUUCCAAACUGGUAUUCUUGAGUGAAGUAGAGGCAGGCGGAAUUCCUAGUGUAGCGGUGAGAUGCGUAGAUAUUAGGAGGAACACCAGUGGCGAAGGCGGCCUGCUGGGCUUUUACUGACGCUGAGGCUCGAAAGUGUGGGGAGCAAACAGGAUUAGAUACCCGAGUAGUC